rnacentral:rRNA from 1 species
CAAGUCGAGCGGUAGCACAGAGAGCUUGCUCUCGGGUGACGAGCGGCGGACGGGUGAGUAAUGUCUGGGAAACUGCCUGAUGGAGGGGGAUAACUACUGGAAACGGUAGCUAAUACCGCAUAAUGUCGCAAGACCAAAGUGGGGGACCUUCGGGCCUCAUGCCAUCAGAUGUGCCCAGAUGGGAUUAGCUAGUAGGUGGGGUAACGGCUCACCUAGGCGACGAUCCCUAGCUGGUCUGAGAGGAUGACCAGCCACACUGGAACUGAGACACGGUCCAGACUCCUACGGGAGGCAGCAGUGGGGAAUAUUGCACAAUGGGCGCAAGCCUGAUGCAGCCAUGCCGCGUGUGUGAAGAAGGCCUUCGGGUUGUAAAGCACUUUCAGCGGGGAGGAAGGCGUUAAGGUUAAUAACCUUGGCGAUUGACGUUACCCGCAGAAGAAGCACCGGCUAACUCCGUGCCAGCAGCCGCGGUAAUACGGAGGGUGCAAGCGUUAAUCGGAAUUACUGGGCGUAAAGCGCACGCAGGCGGUCUGUCAAGUCGGAUGUGAAAUCCCCGGGCUCAACCUGGGAACUGCAUUCGAAACUGGCAGGCUAGAGUCUUGUAGAGGGGGGUAGAAUUCCAGGUGUAGCGGUGAAAUGCGUAGAGAUCUGGAGGAAUACCGGUGGCGAAGGCGGCCCCCUGGACAAAGACUGACGCUCAGGUGCGAAAGCGUGGGGAGCAAACAGGAUUAGAUACCCUGGUAGUCCACGCCGUAAACGAUGUCGAUUUGGAGGUUGUGCCCUUGAGGCGUGGCUUCCGGAGCUAACGCGUUAAAUCGACCGCCUGGGGAGUACGGCCGCAAGGUUAAAACUCAAAUGAAUUGACGGGGGCCCGCACAAGCGGUGGAGCAUGUGGUUUAAUUCGAUGCAACGCGAAGAACCUUACCUGGUCUUGACAUCCACAGAACUUAGCAGAGAUGGUUUGGUGCCUUCGGGAACUGUGAGACAGGUGCUGCAUGGCUGUCGUCAGCUCGUGUUGUGAAAUGUUGGGUUAAGUCCCGCAACGAGCGCAACCCUUAUCCUUUGUUGCCAGCGGUUCGGCCGGGAACUCAAAGGAGACUGCCAGUGAUAAACUGGAGGAAGGUGGGGAUGACGUCAAGUCAUCAUGGCCCUUACGACCAGGGCUACACACGUGCUACAAUGGCAUAUACAAAGAGAAGCGACCUCGCGAGAGCAAGCGGACCUCAUAAAGUAUGUCGUAGUCCGGAUUGGAGUCUGCAACUCGACUCCAUGAAGUCGGAAUCGCUAGUAAUCGUAGAUCAGAAUGCUACGGUGAAUACGUUCCCGGGCCUUGUACACACCGCCCGUCACACCAUGGGAGUGGGUUGCAAAAGAAGUAGGUAGCUUAACCUUCGGGAGGGCGCUUA